CUGAGCUAUCUCACUGGCCCUAACAAAGGGUUUUAAGGGCCGGGGAGAUGGCUCAG
rnacentral:miRNA from 1 species